AUUGAACGCUGGCGGCAGGCUUAACACAUGCAAGUCGAGCGGAGAUGAGGUGCUUGCACCUUAUCUUAGCGGCGGACGGGUGAGUAAUGCUUAGGAAUCUGCCUAUUAGUGGGGGACAACAUUCCGAAAGGAAUGCUAAUACCGCAUACGUCCUACGGGAGAAAGCAGGGGAUCUUCGGACCUUGCGCUAAUAGAUGAGCCUAAGUCGGAUUAGCUAGUUGGUGGGGUAAAGGCCUACCAAGGCGACGAUCUGUAGCGGGUCUGAGAGGAUGAUCCGCCACACUGGGACUGAGACACGGCCCAGACUCCUACGGGAGGCAGCAGUGGGGAAUAUUGGACAAGGGGGGGAACCCUGAUCCAGCCACGCCGCGUGUGUGAAGAAGGCCUUAUGGUUGUAAAGCACUUUAAGCGAGGAGGAGGCUACUGAGACUAAUACUCUUGGAUAGUGGACGUUACUCGCAGAAUAAGCACCGGCUAACUCUGUGCCAGCAGCCGCCGUAA
rnacentral:rRNA from 1 species